rnacentral:rRNA from 1 species
AUGGGGGCAGUAUUGAGAGACGACAAAGGUAGGUUUAUUGCAGGAGGAAAUGGAAAGAUAGACUACUGCGCGGAUGUUCUCAUGACGGAGGCCUUAGCUCUCAAAUUUGGUCUAAAUUUAGCGCAAAGGGCGGGAUGUAAUCGCCUAAUCAUCAGCUCUGACAAUCUGGAGGUGGUUGAGACCAUGCAAGACGAAGGACAGUCAGCGGAAGCGGCGGCGGCAAUCUUCGAUGACUGCUAUCACUAUGCUUGUGAUUUUAUCAUGACUAAAUUCAAACAUUGUAAUAAGGAGGCAAAUAAAGUACCACAUGAACUUGCUAGAUUAGCUAGAUUUUUUUCGACUUCGAAUUAG